AACGAACGCUGGCGGCAUGCCUAACACAUGCAAGUCGAACGGGAUCCGAGCUUCGGUUCGGUGAGAGUGGCGGACGGGUGAGUAACGCGUGGGAACCUGCCCAGUGGUGGGGGAUAACUGCGGGAAACUGCAGCUAAUACCGCAUGAGCCCGAGAGGGGGAAAGAUUUAUCGCCAUUGGAGGGGCCCGCGUUCGAUUAGGUAGUUGGUGAGGUAACGGCUCACCAAGCCUUCGAUCGAUAGCUGGUCUGAGAGGAUGAUCAGCCACACUGGGACUGAGAUACGGCCCAGACUCCUACGGGAGGCAGCAGUGGGGGAAUAUUGCGCAAUGGGCGAAAGCCUGACGCAGCGACGCCGCGUGGGUGAUGAAGGCCU
rnacentral:rRNA from 1 species